AUUUACCUCGAGGAUGGAGAAUUGUUGGACCUGCUAAGUCGUUGCAUUUCCUAGUUCUGUUUUUCCCCCAAAAAUGUCAAACUUUUGUAAAUAAGGUACACGAAUAGCAGAUCUCUUUUUUGGAAAUUCAGUUGGGUCGAACAUAACGUCGAAACAGUCGGAUACAAAUUUGAAUGUACUUCUGUGGUGAGCAAUUGAGCAUUUUUCAGCGUUUUCCUCUAUUUCCAUUGUUGGGUAAAUACUCGUUAACUGAUGAUUCCCUGUGGGUUACGUGAAACGAGUAGAAGAUAAGUUGCUAUUAGCAAUUUAUUGAAUUUUGGUUUCGCGUGUGACCUUUUUUGCAGUAAUUUAUUCCCCUACCCUUUCAGGUAGAGUAGAGAGCCAACACUAUAUAGGGUUAACUAACCCAAAUACGGAGAAGGGAGGGGGGACUUUUAGGGGGAAAACCGUGCAUCUGUAACCACGUACCAGUCGUACCCGGUCGUACCAGGUACGCCAAGCUCCUUCAAGGUCCCAGUCGCCCAUAACCUAAUUAUCCUUUGUACACAGGAAAAAAUGCAUAUCCUUACCUAAUACCAAUACAGUUUGCUGUGUAUUAUCUAACACUAGUGCUUAAUCAUAUUCCGCAAUCUGAAUAUUAUGGAUGGGCUACUAUAUCUUGCAAUUAUAUAUUCUUGCUGCCUUUUGGAUGGAUUCGGAGAUUUUACAGAUCAGUACUAUUUUAUUAAGGAAAUGGACCUUACUGCCAAAUGUAUAACCAAAAACUAAAAAUAUUUAAUUAACCGCAUUUACAAUACAGAAUUUAAUAUUUGGAAUAUCGGGUCGAAAAACUAGGCUAUGUAUAGUUGUAUACACUAUGUAGGCCUACCUGCCUUUCCGUCCCGUGUAGGCUACUUUUGCAACAAAGUAUAUCGGGGUAAACUGCACGGCUAACUAUCCAUUUGAGUUUGGCAAAGGUCGUUGAAGAAAGUGUGAAUGGUUACGUCGCGUCCUUGUCGUACCUGGUACCACCCCGUCAUAGUUUGUGAUACUCCUUAUGCGGCAGCCUCUAUCGUGCGCAUCGACGAACCGUGAACACGUAUAGGUAGAUAUUGGUUGAGGCCACAACUUGAACCUUUUUAACCGCAUCGUUUGUCUGACUUCCCUAUAACGUGAUGGUCAUGCUAUAGUGUUCUCCUUUCCCUUGCAUACUAUGGAUGACUACUAUGCAUACGAUUGCGUUAUCUCGGGUGAAUAUAAAGAGCGAAAGUUUUUGAGCAAAAAUCAGUUCGUCUUCGGCGCAACAACCAGCAACAACAAGAUCAUUCGAUCUUUUACCCACUCGCACUAAAAUUCAAGCUGAUAAAAUGAUCAUGAAGGUGGCAUUGGCUUUCCUACUGUGUUUGGUUUCUUUGACGAUUGUCAAAGGUGCUCCUUCACCAACUGACCAGGAAGUUCUUGACGCUGCUGUUAUAGAAAAUCAACCUGGUGAGGUAGCGGUAGUUGCGCCGAUUGAAUCUGCUGAAUACGCUCAGCAGCCCUUUGAAGAAAAUGAGUCCUUGGAACCUUCAGCCACUCACCAUAAACGUUACUACUACCCUCAUUACUACCCUCAUUAUUACCCUCAUUAUUACCCUAGAUAUCACUACCCCGGAUACUAUUACUAGAGGACUCUUUACUGGCCGAUCAGUAUUGCUUCAGCAGUAAAACAUCAACUAAUUCUACGACACCAUUUCUUCCAUCAGUCGAUUAUAUACAAUCAAUCAGCAAUACUCGCCAUGUAGUCCUUCUCCACCACUGACGACGAAACAAACGUGUUAAACUCUAAAUCCUUUCCCCUUUUUUACUCUUUGUAGUCGCAAUAUUGUAAUGCGCGACUUUUGGAAAAAUAAAAUCUUUUCAAGCAUUGA